rnacentral:rRNA from 1 species
GAAAUGCGAUAAGUAAUGUGAAUUGCAGAAUUCAGUGAAUCAUCGAAUCUUUGAACGCACCUUGCGCUCCUUGGUAUUCCGAGGAGCAUGCCUGUUUGAGUGUCAGUUAAUUCUCAACUCCCUCCAGCUUUUGUAGCUGUCUGUGGAGCUYGGAUGUGGAGGUUUUUGCGAGCCCUUUCAAGGGGUUGGCUCCUCUGAAAUACAUUAGCGGAACUGUUUGCGAUCCGUCACAGGUGUGAUAAUUAUCUACGCCAACGAGGGAUUGCUCUCUAUACGUUCAGCUUCCAACAGUCCUCUUGGUAGGACAACUUUCUGAAAUUUGACCUCAAAUCAGGUAGGAAUACCCGCUGAACUUAA